AAUCUGCUUCCUUAGCAGCUGCAGGCUGCAGCAGCCAAGACCACCCCGUUUUCCCUGCCCUGAGCCCCACAAAGUCCCCACGGCGUGGGAAGGGAGUAAGGCAGAGCCCCAGAGCCCAGUGCCCGGAGUCGGCUUUACCUUCGCGGGAGGCUGGAGAGGCUCCAGCCCUAGCUCCUCCCGCCGCCGGCUCAGCUUCCAGAGUGGGAUGAGGCGCCCUCCGGCCUCCUCACCCUCACCACUUCCCCUUUCCCCCGCCGGGGCCCUGCAGCUCCGCUGCCGCGGGUUCCUGGUGCCGCCGCGGCGCUGCCUCCCCGCCCCCUCCGCCUCCUCCCUCUGCCUCUCAGAGUUUCACUCUGGAGGCCGCCAUCUUCG
rnacentral:lncRNA from 10 species